rnacentral:rRNA from 1 species
GAUCAUGGCUCAGGAUGAACGCUGGCGGCGUGCUUAACACAUGCAAGUCGAACGGGAAUGCUUCGCUGAUGCGAUUUCGGUUAAAUCUUGAAGCAUUUUAGUGGCGGACGGGUGAGUAACGCGUGGGUAACCUGCCCUGUACAGGGGGACAACAGUUGGAAACGACUGCUAAUACCGCAUAAGCGCACAGCUUCGCAUGAAGCAGUGUGAAAAACUCCGGUGGUACAGGAUGGACCCG